rnacentral:rRNA from 1 species
UACGGAGGGGGCUAGCGUUGUUCGGAAUUACUGGGCGUAAAGCGCGCGUAGGCGGACCUGCAAGUCGGGGGUGAAAACCCGGGGCUCAACCCCGGGCCUGCAUUCGAUACGGGCAGACUAGAGUUCGGUAGGGGAGUCUGGAAUUCCUGGUGUAGCGGUGAAAUGCGCAGAUAUCAGGAGGAACACCGGUGGCGAAGGCGGGACUCUGGGCCGAUACUGACGCUGAGGAGCGAAAGCGUGGGGAGCAAACAGG